AUGCAGAAUUGUUGGGGUUUCAAAUUAGGUUUGAAUAUUACAGAUACUCAGAAGGUUCGAUGGUCACAAUUUAGCACUUCUGAGGCAUCCCAGCUUUCAUGGUUAUUUCCUACAAUCAUGCUCAUUCCGUCCAAAUCGCUCCAGAUUUCCGUCGAGUAGCUGCAGAUUUCUUGCUGCAAUAAUGUAGAGUUUUUUGGGUAUGAAAAUGAUAGGAACCUGACGUUCAAAAGCAAGAAAUCAAUUGUUGACAAAAUAGGGAUUGGGUCUUCUGACAUUGGGUUGCUAGAGUGCAAUUCCACACGUACAGGUAUUUUUAAUUUAUGUAUUUCAAUUUGAAUAAUCUACUUUGUGUGUUGUUGUUUUUGCAUUUGUUUUGGUAUGAAGUCAUCAUUUUACCUAUUAUCAACAAAUAGGAAUUGGAUCUCUAACAUUGGGCACACAAUUGUCAAAUGUCAAUCAGAGAUUGGGUAUCAGACGUGGUGA
rnacentral:lncRNA from 1 species